AGUGAACGCUGGCGGCAGGCCUAACACAUGCAAGUCGAGCGGCAGCGCGGGGGCAACCCUGGCGGCGAGCGGCGGACGGGUGAGGAAUUCGUCGGAAUCUGCCUUUUUGUGGGGGAUAACGUAGGGAAACUUACGCUAAUACCGCAUACGUCCUACGGGAGAAAGUGGGGGACCGCAAGGCCUCACGCAGAAAGAUGAGCCGACGACCGAUUAGCUAGUUGGUGGGGUAAAGGCCCACCAAGGCGACGAUCGGUAGCUGGUCUGAGAGGAUGAUCAGCCACAUUGGGACUGAGACACGGCCCAGCCUCCUACGGGAGGCAGCAGUGGGGAAUAUUGGACAAUGGGCGCAAGCCUGAUCCAGCCAUGCCGGGUGUGUGAAGAAGGCCUUCGGGUUGUAAAGCACUUUUGUCCGGAAAGAAAUCCCUGGAGCUAAUACCUUCGGGGGAUGAGGGUACCGGAGAAUAAGCACCGGCUAACUUCGUG
rnacentral:rRNA from 1 species